CAGGGGCUGAAGCUAUGGCUGGCCUGAACAGGGCUGCACCCCAGGUCGCGGAAUAGAAAAGGGAAUCCAUUUCUCUUUCACGUUCCUCUACUCCCAUUUACACUGACUAGAACCCUUUUGUCAUGGUGGCAUUUGAAUGGAAUUAAGGCUGAUGGAUUUUUCACGUGGAACUUGACUCCUUCACUGACCUACAGGCUGUAAGAAGCAGGUGUAGCUGUCUCUCUCAGGGAAAGGAGAUAAGUUUCCUGUAAGACUGAGAACUUCUACUUCAUCAGCUGCUACUUCAUCACUUCACUGGAGGUGCGGAGGAUUUCAGAGGUUCCACCCAGCAAGCCAGUUUCCAUGAAAGAGGAAUGUUCUGUGUAAUAACUGGGUAUCCCAGCUGUCCACAGGCAUAGUUUGAUUUCUAUAUUUGACGGGGCAGCUCCAGUCAGGUCACUGGGGCUAUGCGCUGGGGAGGCAAAUUCCACGCCUGGCCAAGGCUUGCAGUUUUGUGGGGGGCAACACCCCCCUGCUCCCACCAAACUAUGCCCAUGGUUCUGUGUAAUAAUCUAGCUCAUUUUUAAGGCCUCCCAGCAUUCAGAUUUCAUAAUCUGUCUAGUUUAGUGGCCAGCUGAAUAUCUGUCAGCUCAGCAGGAUGCAGAAUUUCUUUGUUUAGGUCGUAGUAUAUUUAACCCAAACUCUCUCAUUUUCAGUGUUGACAGUACACAGUGGACAUUAUUAGUCAUUAGCAUUCCUGAAUUGCUACAAGAGAAUAGUACUUUGGAACAUGUCCAGUUAGGCAGCAUGAAUCCUGUUUCUUCCCUGGGAACCUUCACUUCACCUAUCUGUCUUAAGGUUCUCUAUAAAACCCACCACCAUAGUGUCGUGAAGUAAUGACACAGCUCUGUUUAGUCAUCUCUAUUCAGCUACGCAACAUUCUUUGCUAUUUGAGCCCUACACCAGCUCUUCUACAAGCUCUGCUGAUGCAGUCAUAGCUCUGGUCAAUAGCCCCCUCCCCACCAGCUACCCUAGUACUUUCUGCAGCAAAGCUUUCUAGCAGCACGACGUACCAGCUAGUUUUCUGUAACAUGGUGUUCUCCAUUGGUAUUGCAAGUUCCUUGUAUGAUUGUAUGAUUUUUGGCCAUGUUAACAACGUUAUCAAAAAGUUCUUCAGUGAAACCUGCACAAGAGACCUCUCCCACCCGCACCUUAUUAGGCAAGCUCCUAGUAUCCCACCACAAAGUAUCCUCAAACGUCCUGGAUUCAAAUCUACUCGGACUACAUUACAAAAUUACAUCUAUUAAGCAACUGAAAUUUUCCAGUUCCUUGAGUGGUUGCUUGGGAUGGGUUUCCCUGUAAUUAUACAUACUGUCCAGAGUUGCUGGACAGGCUUGCUAAUUUCCUCACAUAUUACACAAUCACUCUUCUGCGCCUUCACUAGUCAUCACCUGCUGAGCUCUUCUGAGACAAGCAAAUCACCUUUGUUUCCUGCAUCCUAAUCAUCCCAGCAGUAGUUAGCAAAAACAAGAAGGCCUACAAGCACCACACAUUAUAGCUUCUGGCCACCAGCAAUCUUCUGUUCCAGGGCUGCAUCUCCUCACACAGCAUUUAAAAAAAAAGGGCUGGCAGAGGGUUAUGUAACAAUCCCUGCAGGGGCGCUGGAACAAUUUGUAUAGUGGGGGUGCUGAUCGCCAUUGAACCAAACUGUAAACCCUGUCUAUAACAGAAUCCACUUCAAGCUAGGGACUGAUGCAGCACCCCCAUCUCCCCUCUGUAUCCCUAGUUCCAGCACCUAUGAGUCCCUGUUUGCCUCCUGAAUGUCAUGUAACAUCAUUUCGUUCAGAGGGAGCAAAACCCCAGCAUAACAGAGCUCGAGCAGAGGAUAAGGCAUGGAGGAACCAGGCUCAAACCUGAAUUUCUUUGCUCCUUGUUAAACUAUCAGAUGUUUAUUUGUAAGUUCCACACACAAGUCAAAUUCUGAUCCAUUUGCUCAUGACACUGUAUGCUGGGAACGUACUGAAACAGGUAACUCUCAAGAGAAAUUUUCAAAAAUAGGUAUUUGAAAAUGUCUGAAAGGAAGAAAGUUAUUUCAAAGUACCUAUUGGUAAUAGCACAACUACCGUGCUGAAAAAAAGAUUACGUGAGUGAGUUUUUUUUGUAUAAGAAAGAUUAAAGAAACCAAGAGCGCCAUGCUGACAUUAUAAAGGCUCUGGUAAGCACCUCUUUUUUAGACCCAACAGUACUUUAAAAUAACUGUAUUCUUAUAUAACAACUUUAAAUGAAAUCAUCUGGAUUUCACACGCAGUGAUAUUCACACUUAAUCCCCACUAUAAACUAAGUCAUUUAGAAUUUUACACGAAGGAAAAUUCUACCAUUGUAAUUCUAUUGGAUCUGAAACGAGAUGAGUACAACUCUUGCUAGCCACACGCCCAAUGAAUUAAAUAUAUGUGAAAUGA